rnacentral:rRNA from 1 species
GAUGAACGCUGGCGGCGUGCCUAAUACAUGCAAGUCGAGCGAACAGACGAGGAGCUUGCUCCUCUGACUUUAGCGGCGGACGGGUGAGUAACACGUGGAUAACCUACCUAUAAGACUGGGAUAACUUCGGGAAACCGGAGCUAAUACCGGAUAAUAUAUUGAACCGCAUGGUUCAAUAGUGAAAGACGGUUUUGCUGUCACUUAUAGAUGGAUCCGCGCCGCAUUAGCUAGUUGGUCAGGUAACGGCUUACCAAGGCAACGAUGCGUAGCCGACCUGAGAGGGUGAUCGGCCACACUGGAACUGAGACACGGUCCAGACUCCUACGGGAGGCAGCAGUAGGGAAUCUUCCGCAAUGGGCGAAAGCCUGACGGAGCAACGCCGCGUGAGUGAUGAAGGUCUUCGGAUCGUAAAACUCUGUUAUUAGGGAAGAACAAAUGUGUAAGUAACUAUGCACGUCUUGACGGUACCUAAUCAGAAAGCCACGGCUAACUACGUG